GCUUCUUUCAAUAUUUCAGCCUUACUCCCCAAUGACUGGUACGAUCAUCGUUGCCAGUUCUUCCCUAAUUUCUAACGGCAAAGCAUUUCUUCCUAGCCUUCUUGUUGCAACUUCUUCCACACUUAAUCAUGCAUAUAUUUCAGCAAACAAAUGAGAAUGCAUCAUAAUCCACCCUUUUUCGACCAAUUUCAAUAGCCUUUUGUACAAAUUUCUUUCAUUCGUCAUGCCACAUAUCUUUAGUUUGUGGGUUUCUCCUUCAAAGGCAACAUAUAGAUCUUUACUAUACAAAAGAUCUUCCAUCUUGGAUUUCUAAGUUGCCCAAUUUCUUCAUUUACAUAAACCAUUUUGCUAAUGGUUCAUUCUACACAUGAAAAACUACUAAUAACCCUAGCUAUGAUACCACUUUUUGGGGAAGCGAUACCCCAUCAGUCUCUGCACGAGUAAACUAAAUCAUGAAGCAGAAAAGAGGCAACAAGCAAACAAAAAUCAUUCAUAAAAAGCAGGUGAAGAAGAGUACUCGAUUUAUAAGAGGAAGAUCCUUCUUACAAAGGGAAAACCAUGAGACAAAUUUGAAGAUCCAUUGUGCAUCAUAUUGAGCUGCAAUAUUCUCUCUAAACCGAUUUCUCUCUUGGUGUAACAAACGAUGAAAAUUGUUGCGACCCAAGUAAAUAAUUUAAGAGGAAAAGGUUUAUAAAAGGUUGACACCUUAAAAUGUAGGAUUAAAAAAUCCACCAAAAAGGUUGUUUUGGC
rnacentral:lncRNA from 1 species